rnacentral:rRNA from 1 species
GAUGAACGCUAGCUACAGGCUUAACACAUGCAAGUCGAGGGGAAACGAUAUCGAAAGCUUGCUUCCGAUGGGCGUCGACCGGCGCACGGGUGAGUAACGCGUAUCCAACCUGCCCAUCACUUGGGGAUAACCUUGCGAAAGUAAGACUAAUACCCAAUGAUAUCUCUAUAAGACAUCUGAAAGGGAUUAAAGAUUCAUCGGUGAUGGAUGGGGAUGCGUCUGAUUAGCUUGUUGGCGGGGUAACGGCCCACCAAGGCAACGAUCAGUAGGGGUUCUGAGAGGAAGGUCCCCCACAUUGGAACUGAGACACGGUCCAAACUCCUACGGGAGGCAGCAGUGAGGAAUAUUGGUCAAUGGGCGAGAGCCUGAACCAGCCAAGUAGCGUGCAGGACGACGGCCCUAUGGGUUGUAAACUGCUUUUAUAAGGGAAUAAAGUGAGUCUCGUGAGACUUUUUGCAUGUACCUUAUGAAUAAGGACCGGCUAAAUUCCGUGCCAGCAGCCG